CAUUUCAGGACGCAUGCGACGAACCUUUUGCUUAACAGGACGACAAUCUUCCUUCGUCGGCAAACGAUGCACUACUAUAUCGGUAUCCAGCCCUGGCAUGUCUUCGUAAGACCAAGCAAAAAUCUCCACAUAGUCAUGUAGCAUUUGAAUCAAUCUUCUUUUGACACUGAUUUCCAAGCCUGCUCCUAUUUUGACUUCUCUCUUGUCCACCUCGGUACCCAGAUUUACAGUCUCAACUGACUCCUCAUGCGGCUGUAUAGUCCUUUCUUCUUGUAGUAACAUUCUGGCAAGUUCUUCAGGUACUUCACAAUCUUCCUCACUUCCAUCCUCGGCUUGGUAGAUCGGAUUUUCAAAGUCAUAAUGAACAGUAGUAGAACUAUUA
rnacentral:lncRNA from 1 species